AAUGAACGUUGGCGGCGUGGAUUAGGCAUGCAAGUCGUUCGGGGCGCAAGCCCCGAGGCGCAAGGGUGAGUAAGGCGACGGCAACCAACCCCGGAGCCGGGUAUAGCCGCGGGAAACCGCGGGUAAUCCCCGGCGCCCCGAGCAGUCGGCAUCGAUCGCUCGGGAAAGGUGCGAUUCCGCUCCGGGACGGGCCGUCGUGGUAUCCGCUAGAUGGCGGGGUAACGGCCCACCAUGGCUGCGACGCCUACCGGGCGUGCGAGCGUGGCCCGGCACACUGGGACUGAGACACUGCCCAGACACCUACGGGUGGCUGCAGUCGAGAAUCUUCGGCAAUGGGCGCCAGCCUGACCGAGCGACGCCGCGUGGAGGACGAAGGCCCUCGGGUUGUAAACUCCUGUCGAGAGGGACCAAGGUCGUGCGAAGAGCACGGCUUGAGGGAUCCCUGGAGGAAGCACGGGCUAAGUUCGUGCCAGCAGCCGCCGUAAGAC
rnacentral:rRNA from 1 species